UCUUCAUUUCACACACUCUCUCGGCCGGUAGAGAGGCGAGAGAGUGUGUGAAAUGAAGAGA
rfam:Pristionchus pacificus strain PS312 contig10275, whole genome shotgun sequence.